rnacentral:tRNA from 1 species
GGUUCCGUGGCCGAGUGGUUAGGCUGGGCUCUGCAAAAGCUCCCACAGCGGUUCGAAUCCGCUCGGAACCUCAA